rnacentral:rRNA from 1 species
UACGAAGGGGGCUAGCGUUGCUCGGAAUCACUGGGCGUAAAGGGUGCGUAGGCGGGCAUGCAAGUCAGGGGUGAAAGCCCACGGCUCAACCGUGGAAGUGCCUUUGAUACUGCGAGUCUUGAGGGAGGUAGGGGCGUGCGGGAACUUCCGGUGGAGCGGUGAAAUGCGUAGAUAUCGGAAGGAACACCGGUGGCGAAAGCGGCGCGCUGGACCUCUUCUGACGCUGAGGCGCGGAAAGCCAGGGGAGCAAACGGG